UACAGAGGUGGCAAGCGGUGUUCGGAAUUACUGGGCGUAAAGGGCGCGUAGGUGGCCUUCUUAGUCAGACGUGAAAUCCCCGGGCUUAACUCGGGAACUGCGUCUGAUACUGGAUGGCUUGAAUUCGGGAGAGGGAUGCAGAAUUCCAGGUGUAGCGGUGAAAUGCGUAGAUAUCUGGAGGAAUACCGGUGGCGAAGGCGGCAUCCUGGACCGACAUUGACGCUGAGGAGCGAAAGCUAGGGGAGCAAACGGG
rnacentral:rRNA from 1 species